UACGGGGGGAGCAAGCGUUGUUCGGAUUUACUGGGCGUAAAGGGCGCGUAGGCGGCCACCGCAAGUCGACUGUGAAAUCUCCGGGCUUAACCCGGAAAGGUCAGCCGAUACUGCGGGGCUAGAGUGCAGAAGGGGCAACUGGAAUUCCCGGUGUAGCGGUGAAAUGUGUAGAGAUCGGGAGGAACACCGGUGGCGAAGGCGGGUCUCUGGGCAAUUCCUGACGCUGAGGCGCGAAAGCGUGGGGAGCAAACGGG
rnacentral:rRNA from 1 species